rfam:Schistosoma mattheei strain Denwood, Zambia genome assembly, scaffold: SMTD_scaffold0000487
GCACUGCUGAGGAGUCCCGUACUUGGACGAAACGGCCGUCCAGUGC